rnacentral:rRNA from 1 species
UACGUAGGGGGCAAGCGUUGUCCGGAUUUAUUGGGCGUAAAGAGCGUGUAGGCGGCCAUACAGGUCCGUUGUGAAAACUCGAGGCUUAACCUCGAGACGUCGAUGGAAACCGUAUGGCUAGAGUCCGGAAGAGGAGAGUGGAAUUCCUGGUGUAGCGGUGAAAUGCGCAGAUAUCAGGAAGAACACCCGUGGCGAAGGCGGCUCUCUGGGUCGGUACUGACGCUGAGACGCGAAAGCGUGGGGAGCGAACAGG